ACAAUAUUAUACUGUUUAUUUUUUUUUUAAUUAUUACUGUCUUUAACAUUGUCUUAAUUACUUACUCUUAACAAAUACUUGAAUUUGAAACAACAUUUACCAAACUGCUUUGAAUUAAAGUCAACAAAUCUCCUUUUAUGUCUUAGGAAGAUUGGCAGAUGGAUAAAUCCCAGAUAUAUUUUCUGGAAUAUAGCUCAAUCAUGUUUAUAACACUGUUUGUAAAAAUUGUAUCAUUUUGUAAUUAUUUACAUUAUUGAUUAGCACUUAGGAUACAAUAUGUACUUUAAACUGUUCAUACCAGGUACCUUCUGUGAAAAAAGUGCAACUUUGUGACAUGAUAUGCCUGCCUGACUCUAUACCUGAGCAGCAUACAGCUUAUUACUGCAUAAAAGAAACAUAUCUAGAUAAUUUUGAAUCAGAUUGUGUGCUGGAAAAAUGGCCUUACAUCCAAAGGAGUGAAAUUUAGAGAGUUAUUCGCCAUCUACUUAAGUCAUCCUGGAAUAUGAAAAAAUAAGACUGCAUUGACAACAUCCUGAUCCUCGUGUUCAGAUCUUUUGUGAUUUCUUGUGAAGAGUCUUUGAUUUUUCAUAAAAAUAAAAAAUAUAUUAAUAUAA
rnacentral:lncRNA from 1 species